rnacentral:rRNA from 1 species
GGAAUAUUGCGCAAUGGGGGAAACCCUGACGCAGCAACGCCGCGUGAGUGAAGAAGUAUCUCGGUAUGUAAAGCUCUAUCAGCGGGGAAGAAGGAAGACGGUACCCGACUAAGAAGCCCCGGCUAACUACGUGCCAGCAGCCGCGGUAAUACGUAGGGGGCGAGCGUUAUCCGGAUUUACUGGGUGUAAAGGGAGCGUAGACGGCGUCGCAAGUCUGAAGUGAAAGCCCGUGGCUCAACCGCGGAACCGCUUUGGAAACUGCGAGGCUGGAGUGCUGGAGAGGUAAGCGGAAUUCCUGGUGUAGCGGUGAAAUGCGUAGAUAUCAGGAGGAACACCGGUGGCGAAGGCGGCUUACUGGACAGUAACUGACGUUGAGGCUCGAAAGCGUGGGGAGCGAACA